rnacentral:rRNA from 1 species
GUUGCAAAGAACUUUGAAGAGAGAGUUCAAGAGUACGUGAAACUGCUGAGAGGCAAACUGGUGGGCCCUCGAAAUCCCGUUUGCGGGGAGAUUCAGUCGGGUGUCGGCGGCCGUCUCUAAAAUGGGUCUGUCGCAACCGAAGAUCGGGGCACAUUCCGAGGGACGAGUUCCGCUGGAACCCGACGCAUUUCCCGCCCGCACGAAAGGAACGCCGCAGCCGGUCGGGUAGCUGCGCGUGUCGGCCAUGAGGACGUUGCAACGGCAGGUGACCGGCGGCCCCAGGCUUCUUCGGAGGCACUGACGGUCGACGGUUGAUUAGCCGGCUCGUCCGUGGCGCGACACCCGACCGAGGUAAAGAGAGAGACAGAGACGGGGAUACGUCUCCACGGAGACGUCCCCGUCUGCAAUCCACUACUUUCAAACGAGAGAGCGAGCCGUCGGACAGGCGCGUUCCUGCGUGGUCGGACAGUCACCGCACUGGUCGAUCUGGUGGGAGCGCGUCGAUCGUACCGAGUCAGGAUCUCGCGGAGGAUGAAGGCUGGCGGCGAGUAGGUCGGUAACCCACCCGACCCGUCUUGAAACACGGACCAAGGAGUCUAACAUGUGCGCAAGUCGCGGGGUCUUGUUCAGGCCCAAAGGCGAAAUGAAAGUGAAGGCCGCCGCUUCCCCUUAUUCAGUUAGGGGCGGAGUGAGGCGGCCAGGUCGGGACUCGCACGUGACACGGGACGUGACGAAGCACCGACGACCCGCCCUGUUCUAUCUUCUCGAUAGGAACUCAAACGGAGUUUGAGCGCACACGUUGGGACCCGAAAGAUGGUGAACUAUGCCUGGGCAGGACGAAGCCAGAGGAAACUCUGGUGGAGGUCCGCAGCGGUUCUGACGU